rnacentral:rRNA from 1 species
UGAGGAAUAUUGGUCAAUGGGCGGGAGCCUGAACCAGCCAAGCCGCGUGAGGGAGGAAGGCCCUAUGGGUCGUAAACCUCUUUUGUCAGGGAACAAAAGCGAGUAUGUAUACUAGUCUGAGUGUACCUGAAGAAAAAGCAUCGGCUAACUCCGUGCCAGCAGCCGCGGUAAUACGGAGGAUGCGAGCGUUAUCCGGAUUUAUUGGGUUUAAAGGGUGCGUAGGCGGCGGUGCAAGUCAGCGGUAAAAGCCCGGGGCUCAACCCCGGCGAGCCGUUGAAACUGCAGUGCUAGAGAAGGCGAGAGGUACGCGGAAUGCGCAGUGUAGCGGUGAAAUGCUUAGAUAUUGCGCAGAACUCCGAUUGCGAAGGCAGCGUACUGGCGCCUGACUGACGCUGAGGCACGAAAGCGUGGGUAUCGAACAGGAUUAGAUACCC